AUUGACCGCUGGCGGCAGGCCUAACACAUGCAAGUCGAACGAGUGGCGGACGGGUGAGUAAUGACUGGGAAACUGCCCGAUGGAGGGGGAUAACUACUGGAAACGGUAGCUAAUAACGCAUACCAUCGGAUGUGGCCAGCUGGGAUUAGAUAGUUGGUGGGGUAAAGGCCUACCAAGGCGACGAUCCGUAACUGGUGUGAGAGGAUGAUCAGUGACACUGGAACGGAUACACGGUCCAUACUCCUACGGUAGUCAGCAGUGGGGAAGAUUGGACAAUGCGCGAAGGCCUAGUCCAACCAUGCCGCGUGGGUGGAGAAGGUCUUCGGAUUGGAGGGCUCUUUUAGUUGGGAGGCGUUACCAACAGAAUAAGCACCGGCUAACUUCGUGCCAGCAGCCGCGGUAAUAC
rnacentral:rRNA from 1 species